rnacentral:lncRNA from 1 species
CCGCCUUCCUGCCACUCCUCCCGCCUUCCUGCCCUCCGCUGCCUGUGGCUCCUCACUUCCCCGGCCGUGCCGUCAGGGGCGCUCCAGAGCAGCCCCGGUGCCCACGUCUCAUCGCAGCCCUCUGGCAGGACAGCGCGCGUCUAAACUAAGCCGAGGCGCACUUCGCUAAGGGGACCUCUCCGUUUGGACAAUCCCGACGCCCGGCUCUACGUGAGGCGUUUUUCCCUCGUUCUCAUUCAUGGGCGGCGCUGGGCAUUCUCUGCCAUCCUUAGGGGUCCUCCACAGCAUGCGGGAGGCCGGCGCCCCAGGGCUCUUUCACCCCCCGCUGCUCUCGUUCCUCCACGUGUUCUCCCGAGCGACCCACCCGCGUUCAUGGUCCCAAACCCCCACCUAACCUCCAGCCAGCGCCCUUCUCCCGAGCUCCAGGCCCCUCCAGCUCCAGUGUGGGCAUCGUCCCCUGGUUCUCCUCAAGUCCACUUACACUCAGCCUCUUCCAGGCGGAAUUCCUCAUCUCCCACACAACCCUUUGCCGCUCUGGUAUCAGCUGGUGGCUUCUCCGUGGCCAUGCAGAGAAUAGAGACAGAACUUGAAACUGAUGUGCACAUGAGUGAGAUUCUUCAGCAAGGUGACAGACAGGAGGGUAAAGAGGAAGUAGGAUGAGCUCUUUGCUUUGAGUUUCUGUUUUCCAGGUCGGCUUGAUUGGAAAGAGGGAUGGCCGUGGUGAGAGUUGACAGUGUGCUGGUAGCCCUCGCAGCCCACGCUCGCUCUCGGCGCCUCCUCUGCCUGGGCUCCCACUUUGACGGCACUUGAGGAGCCCUCCAGCCCGCCGCCGCACUGUGGGAGCCCCUUGCUGGGCUGGCCGAGACCGGAGCCAGCUCCCUCAGCUUGCAGGGAGGUGUGGAGGGAGAGGCAUGGGCGGGAACCAGGGCUUCGCGGGUGCCUGCGGGCCAGCACGAGUUCCGGGUGGGCGUGGGCUCAGCGGGCCUCACACUGGGAGCCGCAGGCCGGCUCGCAAGUCCCGGGCAGUGAGGAGCUUACUACCCGGGCCAGCAGCUGCGGAGGGUGUGCCGGGUCCCCCAGCAGUGCCGGCCCACCGGCUCUGUGCUGGAUUUCUUGCCGUGCCUUAGCUGCCUCCCCUCGGGCAGGGCUGGGGACCUGCAGCCUGCCAUGCCUGAGUCUCCCUCCGCACUGCCAGAUGCUCCUGCCGGGCCUGAGUCUCCCCGACGAGCGCUGCCCCAUGUUCCACGGCGCCCGAUCCCAUCCACUGCCCAAGGUCUGAGGAGUGCCAGCGCACGGCGACGGAGUGGCAGGCAGCUCCACCUGCGGCCCCGGUGUGAGAUCCACUGGAUGAAGCCAGCUGGACUCCUGAGUCUGGUGGGGACUUGGAGAAUCUUUAUGUCUAGCUGGGGGAUUGUGAAUGCACCAAUCAGCACUCUGUAUCUAGCUCAAGGUUUGUAAACACACCAAUCAGCACCCUGUGUCUAGCUCAGGGUUUGUGAAUGCACCAAUCGACACUCUGUUUCUAGCUAAUUUAGUGGGGCCGUGGAGAACUUUUGUGUCGAACUCAGGGAUUGUAAACGCACCAAUCAGCACUCUGUCAAAAUGGACCAAUCAGCUCUCUGUAAAACAGACCAAUCGGCUCUCUGUAAAAUGGACCAAUCAGCAGGAUGUGGGUGGGGCCAGAUAAGAGAAUAAAAGCAGGCUGCUCCGCGCUAGCACUAGCAAGUUGCUAGAGUGGCCUGCCACAGUGUAAGUUUUGUUCUUUAGCUCUUUGCAAUAAAUCUUGCUACUGCCCACUCUUUGGGUUUACACUGCAUUUAUGAGCUGUAACACUCAUGGUGAAGAUUUACAGGUUCAGUCCUGAAGCCAGCGAGACAAAGAACCCACUGGGAAGAACAAACAACUCCAGACGCCCCAACUUAAGAGCUGUUAACACCCGAAGAUCUGCAGCUUCACUUUUGAGCCAGCGAGACCACGAACCCACCAGAAGGAAGAAACUCUGAACAGGCUGGAACGUCAGAAGGAACAAACUCAGGACAUGCCACCUUUAAGAACUGUAACACUCACUGUGAGGGUCUGCGGCUUCAUUCUUGAAGGCUGUGAGACCAAGAACCCACCAAUUUCGGACACACUGGGACCACCCUCGCUGACUGGAGCACUUGAGGCAAUCAUUCCCAGAUAGUGGAACCUCGAAUGGCAGACACUGUGGUUCUCCUGCGGGGCUGAGAACUGUGAGGAGCAGAGCAGACUUCAUGGAGCUCCACAAGUCACAUACACAGGCGGCUGCUGGCUAUUUCCGCUUUCUCAUCUGGAAUUGGCAGCGGACUAAGUGGGCCCUACUUAUUAGGUUGGUGCAAAAGUAAUCGCGAUUCUUGCCAUUAAAAGUAAUGGCAAAAGCUGAUAAGGAAACUGAGGCACACAAGGUCAGCUAACCUGCCCGAGGUCUCUAGCUAGUGACUGGAAGAGGUGUUCUCUGGAUAUUAUUUGAAUCUCAGUCUCGCUAUAUUUCUUCGUCAUGACUGUAACUUUCCCCCUGUAUUUCUAAAUAUUUUAAUCUCUUGAUCAUAUAGCAUACGUUGAUUUAAUAAAUCACUUUUACAUGCAUUAUCGUAUUUGGUAUUCAUCACAGCUCUCUGAGGUGGGUAAGGGAGAUUUGGUUACUUCUUUCUGACAAAUGAGAAAAAUGAUGCUCAUAGACACUGUUAAGUUAGAAGCACAGGGCGUUAAUUCUGGAAGUGUUUUAAAGAUUACCCAAUCCAGCCACUCAACUUUUAGGAAAUUGAGCGUCAGAAAAAUAAAUGCCUUUCUCUAGUUCCCACAGCUGGCUGCAGUACCAAUCACCUGCCUCUGAGUUCAUUGCCAGCUGGGUGCUGUGGAACUUACCUUGACUUUGGAGUUAAUUAUCCAACUUCUCUGAGCUAUA